CGGACCGGCGGCCGGGCUGGCCCAGCUAGACGAGCUGCUGACGGUCGCGGGCGACCGGACCCGCCGGUUCCAACCGGCCCGGGCCGCCC
rnacentral:tRNA from 1 species